GCCGGAGUGGCGGAAUGGCAGACGCAGGGGACUCAAAAUCCCCCGCCCCUUGCGGGCGUGUGGGUUCGACUCCCACCUCCGGCA
rnacentral:tRNA from 1 species